CAUGAGUCCUGCCGAUCUUUAAAAAAGGGUCUACGUCUGCUGGAUAAUGGGUCCGUCUGUGAACCAAACGGGACAGUUGAUCUCUUACCCAGUUUGUUCUGGAUGGCCUCCAGGAUGCUGUCGGAGUCGCAAAGCAUGCAGGGAGUUGUAGUGCAGAUCUGGAUGUGGUACUUGCCCACCGGUUGCCUCAGGAACAUGGUGUAGAACGUCGCUACCUCAUAGAUCCUCAUCGGAGGGACCUCAAGCACCUCGGCCACCUGGGAGAAGAGAGGGGGAAACAAUUCUGAAAAAUGAAGGCUCGUGGACAGGAGGAUCGUUAAUCCAAUCAUGGAUGGAGUACUGAACACGCCCCAGGUCUACACAGAUUCUGUCGAUUUAUAUGGUUCUACAAAUCAACGUAUUUUAAAACGGCGCAUUCUAAAUCAUGGCUACUUAAAGUAAUUUGUUGCUAAAAAAGCACAAAAAAAUGAACAUACUCUAUUCUAAAAACAGACAGAUGGCCUCAGGAUGUUGAUUGAUAGAUUGAUGAAUGACCUUGUUCAUGGCUGAGAUGGGGAGCCAUCCAUGCUGUCUCUGAGCCAGGUCCAACACGGGGAUGGUGGCGGCCUGCUUGUGGCCCUCGGGGUACAUACUAACGAUAGCAUCAAUCCUCUAAAAAAACGACGACAAACAGCUUUCAUUAGUGUUUCAUACAUGAUGUCCAUAAGAACAGAGAAUGUGACCUUUUCAAAACGAUUUAAAAGAUGUGAUAAAGUGAUGGUUUCAACGUU